GGGAAAAAUAAACAGCAUGAUACCACUGCAACGUGUACCCCUCUAGACUACAAAUGCAGCCCAUGUCAGUAUAAAAUUUUCUUUUGAGGAAAAACAUGGUCACCAAACAAUGCCAAAGAAAAUGAUUUGAUUCUAAAUUGGCCCUUUUUAAGUCCUAUGGGAUUUUUGUAUGUUUUGACAGGAUGUUACUUGAAGAAAAUAUGGUGCAAACAAAGUAUAUCUCAUCAGCAUGAUAGUGGUGUUGAAUGACUAACAUUUUGAAGAUAAUAAUUAUGGAGAUUUAAAAAUGAGAUGAUUUUUUUCAAGAAGCACCAAGGAUGUCCAAGAAUUAACUUUGUUGAAGACUUACUUUAAUGCGAACUCAGAUUGACCAACCAGCAAUUGUACUAACAACAAUAAUGAGAAAUACUAGAACAGUUUACUACAGUAUUAGUUUUUUAAAUUGAGUUUCAUUAUAAUAAGAAUUAAACCAAUGCUAUACUAUUUGUAAAUUAAUUUUGAAAUGGAGCUUAUUGUAGCUUGCGGUCCAACUUUGGGACAAAACAAUACCAGUCUUUAAUUGUCUGUCUUGUAUCAAGUAUGAAAAUCAGCAAAGAACAGUUUCACCUUUAAUAUUUUAACAUAUAAAUAUUUUUCAAGAUAUUUUUUAUAUUUUGAAUAUUGAAAAAGGACAUCUUAACUUUUCAGCAGCUCUAUCAGGAGAUUUAACUUUAGAUAUAUUUUCUACAGCCACACAAAAUAUCCUAAUUUUGUCCUAUAAGUCAUGACAAGUGCCAGCCAGCCUAAGAAUUGAAUAGUGAUUAAAAACAUGAUUGAAAAAUCAUGCAAAAGUACAUUUAUAUAAAAUAUCUUUUAUUUCUAAAUAACCUAUGAAUUGAGCAUUGAUUAAAAACAUGAUUGAAAAAUCAUGCAAAUAUACAUUAAUACAAAAUAUCUUUUAUUUAUAAAUAGCAGUAAUGCAUAUUAAAAAUGCUUGUUUAUUUCACUGUGCUUUUGUUUUUUAUUUUUAUUUUACUCUGUUUUAAAAAGCAAAAGUUGUGAUACAGCUGGAACUGUUACAUAUUAAUAUUUAUUGGUCCCUGGAUACAGUCACUAUUUUACAUUAUUUUUGGCUGAUUUUAACUUAUUCCUACAAGUUUGUAAGAGGGGACACAAAACAAAACCUAUAAUUAAAAAAAUAUAAAAAGGUAAUUGAGGAGCCAUGAUGUAAUUAUAUAAGAGGGUCUGGAUGGGGUUUACAGAAUAGAGAAUAAUGGACUAUUACUACAGAAUAAUGGGCUAAAACAUAAAAAGAUAGAGAAAAAUAGUCCAAAACAAUUAAGAAUAGAGAAUAAUAGCCAAAUUUAUAAUGAACAGAGAAAAAUGGCUUAAAAAAAUUAGAGUACGAUUGAAGGACCUCCCAUCUAAACCCUCUAUGAUGUAACAGUAUGUUUAAGCAUGUUAAUAAAUUCAUCAUUUAGAUGAUUUCUAUUCACAAAUAUAGAAUAUAUCAUGAACCAACUACAUAAUUUAUCACAAUCUGAACAAAUCUCUUUCAGAAAUGUAUGCAUAAUCCUAGUGUUCCCAUAUUUAUGUCAGAACUUAUGCACUUUUUGAAUGUACAAAAAAAAUAUAAAUUUUCCCCUUCGUUUGGCCUUAAAGUCUCCAUGAUGAUAUUUGAAAGGCCUUCUGGUUGAAACGUUUCAAAUAUUUGUUUAGCAUUUUAAUCAUUUUAAACUGAAACCCAUAUGAUUGUGUAAUACUCCAUUUUGUAGGCUUAUUAAUUCUGUAACACACCUACUCCUUUUUAAUACUACAGGAUUCUACAAAAGUUUUGCAACUAUUAUUUUUGUUAUGAACUUUUGCUUUUAAUAUUUUAUUAUAAAAAUGUCCAAUACAUUAUUUAUAUUGUCUGUAAUAUCAGGAGUCUUCAUGUUACGUUUUUUUUAUACUAAUGUUUCUGUUGAAACUAAUCAAAUACUUUAAAUUCAUUUAUUAAUGCAAUUUUUGAAGAAUGAAAAAAAUGUGAGAUUAAUUAUUGCGAUUUCAGGAAAAUCUGCAUACAGAUAAAUGUAUCAUAUAAUCAGAA